rnacentral:rRNA from 1 species
CUCGUAGGUGGCCAACUAAGUCAGACGUGAAAUCCCUCAGCUUAACUGGGGAACUGCGUCUGAUACUGGAUGGCUUGAGUUUGGGAGAGGGAUGCGGAAUUCCAGGUGUAGCGGUGAAAUGCGUAGAUAUCUGGAGGAACACCGGUGGCGAAGGCGGCAUCCUGGACCAACACUGACACUGAGGAGCGAAAAGGCCAGGGGAGCAAACG